rnacentral:lncRNA from 1 species
UGCUUUUCAAAGAUGGUGGUCCUGAAGAUGAGGAGAGACGGUUUAACUCUAAUGAGGUAUGGAGGAUGUGGAGGCCAUGAUAGAUUUGAUGGAAAUGUGAAGAGAGGGUUGCCAUUGCUAACCUCCAGGAUGAAUAUACAGGAUUCUGGAUACUGAAGGAGAGCUUUCUCUAAGAGAGCUAAUGGGUACAGACAAUUGUGGAGUAUAGAAAACACGGAGCCAUUUUCCAGCAAGAGAUCAGAAA